rnacentral:rRNA from 1 species
GACGAACGCUGGCGGCGUGCUUAACACAUGCAAGUCGAACGGAAAGGCCCUGCUUUUGUGGGGUGCUCGAGUGGCGAACGGGUGAGUAACACGUGAGUAACCUGCCCUUGACUUUGGGAUAACUUCAGGAAACUGGGGCUAAUACCGGAUAGGAGCUCCUGCUGCAUGGUGGGCGUUGGAAAGUUUCGGCGGUUGGGGAUGGACUCGCGGCUAAUCAGCUUGCUGGUGGGGUAGUGGCUUACCAAGGCUUUGACGGGUGGCCGGCCUGAGAGGGUGACCGGCGGCAUGAGGACUGAGGGAGGCCCCAGACUAGAACGGGAGACAGCAGUGGGAAGCAUUAAACAAUGGGCGGAAGCCUGAUGAGACAGCGCCGCGUGCGGGAUGACGGCCUACGGGGUAAAAAACGCUUUCGCCUAAGACGCAGCGGGUGUGACGGUAUAGGGUAAAGAAGCACCGGCUAACUACGUG